UUAGAUACCCUGGUAGUCCACGCAGUAAACGAUGAAUGCUGGCUGUCCGGGGGGAUUGACCCCUGGGUGGCGAAGCGAAAGCGAUAAGCAUUCCACCUGGGGAGUACGCCGGCAACGGUGAAACUCAAAGGAAUUGACGGGGGCCCGCACAAGCGGAGGAACAUGUGGUUUAAUUCGAUGAUACGCGAGGAACCUUACCCGGGCUCAAACGGGGAGUGACUCAGGCAGAGACGCCUGUUUCCCACGGGACACUCCCCGAGGUGCUGCAUGGUUGUCGUCAGCUCGUGCCGUGAGGUGUCGGCUUAAGUGCCAUAACGAGCGCAACCCCCGCGUGCAGUUGCUAACAGAUAACGCUGAGGACUCUGCACGGACUGCCGGCGCAAGCCGCGAGGAAGGCGGGGAUGACGUCAAAUCAGCACGGCCCUUACGUCCGGGGCGACACACGUGUUACAAUGGGUGGUACAGCGGGAAGCCAGGCGGCGACGCCGAGCGGAACCCGAAAUCCACUCUCAGUUCGGAUCGGAGUCUGCAACCCGACUCCGUGAAGCUGGAUUCGCUAGUAAUCGCGCAUCAGCCAUGGCGCGGUGAAUACGUUCCCGGGCCUUGUACACACCGCCCGUCAAGCCAUGGGAGCCGAGGGCGCUUGAAGUGCGUCGCCGCGAGGCGCGCCCUAGAGCGAAAUCGGUGACUGGGGCUAAGUCGUAACAAGGUAGCCGUACCGGAAGGUGCGGCUGGAACACCUCCUUUCUGGA
rnacentral:rRNA from 1 species